ensembl:rRNA 5S_rRNA 5S ribosomal RNA
UCCAGCAGCCAUAUCACCCUGAAACUCACAACUGGCAACCCACUGAAGCUAAGCAGGUGUGAGCCUGGUCAGUACCUGGAUGGGAGACCUCCUGGGAAAAACUAGGUUGCUGCUGGAA